rnacentral:rRNA from 1 species
AGAUGGGCACGCGCAAGAUUAGAUAGUUGGUGAGGUAACGGCUCACCAAGUCAAUGAUCUUUAGGGGUCCUGAGAGGGAGAUCCCCCACACUGGUACUGAGACACGGACCAGACUCCUACGGGAGGCAGCAGUGAGGAAUAUUGGACAAUGGGUGAAAGCCUGAUCCAGCCAUCCCGCGUGAAGGAUGACGGUCCUAUGGAUUGUAAACUUCUUUUGUACAGGGAUAAACCUACUCUCGUGAGGGUAGCUGAAGGUACUGUACGAAUAAGCACCGGCUAACUCCGUGCCAGCAGCCGCGGUAAUACGGAGGGUGCAAGCGUUAUCCGGAUUUAUUGGGUUUAAAGGGUCCGUAGGCGGACCUGUAAGUCAGUGGUGAAAUCUCAUAGCUUAACUAUGAAACUGCCAUUGAUACUGCAGGUCUUGAGUAAAUUUGAAGUGGCUGGAAUAAGUAGUGUAGCGGUGAAAUGCAUAGAUAUUACUUAGAACACCAAUUGCGAAGGCAGGUCACUAAGAUUUAACUGACGCUGAUGGACGAAAGCGUGGGUAGCGAACAGGAUUAGAUACCCUGGUAGUCCACGCCGUAAACGAUGCUAACUCGUUUUUGGAUUUUCGGAUUCAGAGACCAAGCGAAAGUGAUAAGUUAGCCACCUGGGGAGUACGUUCGCAAGAAUGAAACUCAAAGGAAUUGACGGGGGCCCGCACAAGCGGUGGAUUAUGUGGUUUAAUUCGAUGAUACGCGAGGAACCUUACCAAGACUUAAAUGGGAAUUGACAGAUUUAGAAAUAGAUCCUUCUUCGGACAAUUUUCAAGGUGCUGCAUGGUUGUCGUCAGCUCGUGCCGUGAGGUGUUAGGUUAAGUCCUGCAACGAGCGCAACCCCUGUCACUAGUUGCUAACAUUCAGUUGAGGACUCUAGUGAGACUGCCUACGCAAGUAGAGAGGAAGGUGGGGAUGACGUCAAAUCAUCACGGCCCUUACGUCUUGGGCCACACACGUAAUACAAUGGCCGGUACAGAGGGCAGCUACACAGCGAUGUGAUGCAAAUCUCGAAAGCCGGUCUCAGUUCGGAUUGGAGUCUGCAACUCGACUC